rnacentral:rRNA from 1 species
AUUGAACGCUAGCGGGAGGCCUUACACAUGCAAGUCGAGCGGAGCGGCGGACGGGUGAGUAAUGCAUCGGAACCUGCCCGGUAGUGGGGGAUAACGACCGGAAAGGGUAGCUAAUACCGCAUACUAUCAGAAAGGCCGAGGUCGGAUGAGCUAGUUGGUGGGGUAAAGGCCUACCAAGGCGACGAUCCGUAGCUGGUAUGAGAGGAUGACCAGUCACACUGUAACUGAGACACGGGCCAGACUCACACGGGAGGCAGUAGUGGGUAAUCUUGGACAAUGGGUGAAACUCUGUGCCAGCCAUGCCGCGUGUGUGAAGAAGGUCUUCGGAUUGUAAAGCCCUUUUAGCAGGGAGGCGUUACCUACACAAUAAGCACCGGCUAACUACGUGCCAGCCGCCGCGGUAAUAC